GUCCAGUGUGGCAUAGUGGUUUGAGUAUUGGAUUCUGGCUCUGGAGACCAGGGUUCAAUUCCCCACUUGGCCA